rnacentral:lncRNA from 1 species
UAAUGAUCCUGCUCGAGAUUUGUCCAUUCAAGUGCUAGAGAAAUUUUCUCUUGUGACCAGAUUUGCUCGUGAAACAACAUCUCAACUUUUUCGUGAAGCUCAGGGAGAUGGUUUCGUUCCUAAUGACAGGAGGAAGCAAGACCAAAAAACAAAUGAUUAUCCUCGCAUUGCUGAAUGUAAUGAUGUUCAGAAGUUGCCUGAAGAAUUCCUAAUGACAGGAGGGAGCAAGACCAAAAAACAAAUGAUUAUCCUCGCAUUGCUGAAUGUAAUGAUGUUCAGAAGUUGCCUGAAGACGUUCAAGUGCCUGCAGAUCCCUUGGAG